rnacentral:rRNA from 1 species
GAUGAACGCUGGCGGCGUGCCUAAUACAUGCAAGUCGAACGAAACUUCUUUAUCACUGCGUGCCUGAACUUACCGACAAAGGGUUGAGUGACGAACGGGUAAGCAACCUGUAGGCAACCUGUCCCUAAGGGGGGGAUAACACUUGAACACAGGUGCUAAUGAAGCAUAAGCAUCAUUACCGCAAGGUAACUAUGUAAAAGGUGGCUAUACUACCGCUUUUGGAUGAGCCCGCGGCGCAUUAGCCAGUUGGUAAGGUAAAGGCUUACCAAGGCAAUGAUGCGUAGCCGAACUGAGAGGGUGAUCGGCCACAUUGGAACUGAGACACGGCCCAGACUCCUACGGGAGGCAGCAGUAGGGAAUCUUCCGCAAUGGGCGAAAGCCUGACGGAGCAACGCCGCGUGAGUGAUGAAGGUCUUCGGAUCGUAAAACCCUGUUGUUAGGGAAGAACGAGCGUGUAAGUAACUAUUCACGUCUUGACGGUAUCUAACCAGAAAGCCACGGCUAACUACGUG